rnacentral:rRNA from 1 species
UACAGGAACGAACGCUGGCGGCGCGUUUAAGCAUGCAAGUCGAGCGGCAAGGGCCUUCGGGCCCCUAGAGCGGCGGACGGGUGAGUAACACGUGGACAAUCUGCCCCCCGGCCCGGGAUAGCCCAGGGAAACCUGGAUUAAUACCGGAUGAGACGGGACCCGCGAUGGCGGGAUCCGGGAAAGGCGCUGCGGCGCCGCCGGGGGAUGAGUCUGCGUCCCAUUAGCUAGACGGCGGGUAACGGCCCACCGUGGCGACGAUGGGUAGCCGGCCUGAGAGGGUGGACGGCCACAUUGGAACUGAGACACGGUCCAGACUCCUACGGGAGGCAGCAGCUAAGAAUCUUCCGCAAUGGGCGAAAGCCUGACGGAAGCGACGCCGCGUGAACGAAGAAGGCCGUGAGGUUGUAAAGUUCUUUUCGGGAGGGGAACAACCGUGGCAGGGAAUGGCCGCGGGAUGACGUGAAUCCCGGAAUAAGCCCCGGCUAACUACGUGCCAGCCGCCGC